GUUUCACAUCUAGCAAAAUGCUACUUCCUCAGGGAAGCCUGAUUCACUCAGAGAAAUGUGGUUUCUCCAGUGUUUUUUUUUUUCAUAACUCUCAGCUCCAGCUCUAUUAUAAUACUUAGCACAUUACCUAUUUACCUGACAGCCCUCUUCCUCAAACUGUGUCCUCCAAGCCUGGGAGACAGAGCAAGACUCCAUCUCAAAAUAAUAAUAAUAAUAAUAAUAAUAAUAAUAAUAAUAAUUAAAAGCACUUCAUGUUUUACUCAGCAUAAAAUACCAACUUCUUACCAUAUACCCUACAUGAUCUGGCCCUUCCUGUCUCUCAGGCUUCACUUCCUACUGCUUUAACCCCUGGUCGUAGAGAAUGUGGUAAUCAAAAUGCCAAAAGCAAGCAGACAUACAGAAAAUGAGUAGAGAAGCAAAGUGCCUUACCAGAUCUGCCUAGACUCUUUUCUGAACCUAUGUGUUUGGGAGGUCACUUCAGGCAUGUGGCAAUUUUGGAUGUCAUCUUUUGAUGUCUAAUGGGAAAUAGCAAACACCCAGUUUUAAAAGUUUUUACUUAAAAUUUUAUCUUACAAAAAUAUAUAUAACAUAUAUUAACACUUAAAAAAAUA
rnacentral:lncRNA from 1 species